rnacentral:lncRNA from 1 species
AUCUUGUUAUUUUCUUUAAACACAGUCAUUUCAACAAAGCUGUAGUAUAAUCUAACAACACUUCUGCCACCUGCAGGGUCAGUAAUUGAGCUCUACAUGGCUAGCCUGUCCCCAGGCUUGGUAGCUGCUAAGCCUCUCAGUUACAGUAAUAUCUGCAGUAUUUAAAAAUGAGUUUUCUAAGCAGCAAAAAGGUUGCUUGUUCUUUUUCUUCCUGUCAAGCUGUGGCCUUCAGCAAAUGGGGAGGGCAAACAGCUUUCUACACUUGGCAAUGCUGGUACUGACCACGUGCUAGACGAGCAUAAGCAUCUUCUGUAUCCAUCUCGUGUUCUGUGCUUUGCUUUUGCUUAAGCUGGUCAGUUCACAUGGGCUGCGCUUGUUUAAACUUACUUUUACUGGGGAGCUCACAUUCCCACAGUGUCAGUUUUUGCCUCAUGCUUUGCCUCAAGUCUUGUCUAAUCUGUUACUGCUGCACCACUACAAUAUAACAUUUGUAAUACUGUGUAAAAAUGAAAUCUAAGUCAAAGACUGUUCAUCUCACAACCAUAAAUGCAAGUUGGAUAUAGCUAAGGAAAAAAAAAAAAUCUAAGUUCUAUCUUCAUAUAUAGGUGUGGGGGUUUCUUCCCACAAGCAUUUGAGGAAGAUUUAGAUAACUGGCAUUGAGACAAGUAGCAUCUCUUCCUUCUAGAUGCUCAAAAUUGUUUAGCUCGUCCUUUCGGAACACUAUUUGCUAGCAAUAUGAAUUUUCCAGGCCAUAUUGACUGGGUUUCAUUAAAUGCAAGUGGGCUGAAAGGAAACAGCAGUUACCCGUGGUCCCGUGAGUAACUAGAGUUACUUCUUGCCUUGGGAGGCAACAGCACGGCUUGUUUUCUGUUCAGCAAACUGCCUUGCUGAAAAAUACUAUUCAGCCUUAUUUUGCUCUAGCACAUAACAUAUAUUCAUUUCUAUAUACUCCUUCUAUUUAUGGUGAAGCUUAAUUUGCUGGAUUGGAAGCAAUAUGCUUCCACCAUCAUGUUUUCUGACUGUUGAACUGUCAGAAAUAAUUAAAACCCCAGAUCAUUUGCAAUGUAUGUUAAAUAAGAAGCUACAUGAUACUAUUAUAUUAAUUUUUGCUCUAUUCAGUAGGUUCUGUCUUUGCUAAAUGAGUAAACAUU